rnacentral:tRNA from 1 species
GGGGUUGUGGCUCAGUGGUUGAGCACUUGCCUAGCAUGUGUGAGGUACUGCGUUCAAUUCUCAGCACCACA